GUGGCACGUGGAGUUGCGUCCGUAAUCCCGUAUCGGAAUAAAUUCUAUAUUUUUUAUUGACCUUCGCUCGUACCGUGAUAUGAUCGUUUAAUCGUUUCAUAUGAAAUUUAGAUGUAACUGCUACAAGAAAUAGAUUAAUUAUCAAAUCGUUCGAGUAAUAGAAUCAGGAAAAACUUUGGGGGAAUGAAACCAUAUUAACAGAAUAGAAUUAGAAUUGUGACAAGUCUUUAAGAAUUAAAAAAGAAUAAUUUAAGUGUGUGCUAUAGGAAGAGAAAAAAGAAUGAUGAUUUCGUGAGAAUUAAAAGAAGAUAAUUUAUGAUACUAUUUGAUUGCAAUCGUGUCAAGAUCGAUGACUAAGAACGCUUACAACAAGUAAGUGGUAUAGUGUUCUAAAUCAUGUACUCGUCUUGCUGCGAUU